rnacentral:rRNA from 1 species
AGUGAACGCUGGCGGUAUGCCUAACACAUGCAAGUCGAACGGCAGCACAUAGGAGCUUGCUCCUUGGGUGGCGAGUGGCGGACGGGUGAGGAAUACAUAGGAAUCUACUCUGUCGUGGGGGAUAACGUAGGGAAACUUACGCCAAUACCGCAUACGACCUACGGGUGAAAGCAGGGGACCUUCGGACCUUGCGCGAUUGCAUGAACCGAUGUCGGAUUAGCUGGUUGGCGGGGUAACGGCCCACCAAGGGGAAGAUCCGUAGCUGGUUGGAGAGGAUGAUCAGCCACACGGGAACUGAGACACGGUCCAGACUCCUACGGGAGGCAGCAGUGGGGAAUAUUGGACAAUGGGCGCAAGCCUGAUCCAGCCAUACCGCGUGGGUGAAGAAGGCCUUCGGGUUGUAAAGCCCUUUUGUUGGGAAAGAAAUCCGGCUGGCUAAUACCCGGUUGGGAUGACGGUACCCAAAGAAUAAGCACCGGCUAACUUCGUGCCAGCAGCCGCAGUAA